rnacentral:lncRNA from 1 species
GUGGCCUUACUUCACGAUGUUUUUCUUCUUAAAUGAGGAUGGAAAAACCUUGAGCUAUGGUGGGAAGGGGAUUCAUCAUCAGAAGACUGCCUCGUAAAACUGUAUAAGUCACCUGUCCUGUUCAGCUUUAUGCAUAACAACUUUAGCACCAUAUACCAGUGUUCCAAGCUUCUCCCAAAGUCUUUUCAUUUUAGUAUAGUAGGUAGUGACAUCCAUUGAGCCUUGAGUUAGGUCAGUAAUUUCUUUAUGAAGUUGAUAGAGUUUUGCA